rnacentral:lncRNA from 1 species
UGAAUUCAUCAGAAGUCCAGAGGUUCACUGGCAGAGAAGGAAUGGCUUGGGGAGCUGCCACAGAGCCCCGAAACCUCAUGCCUGGUCCGUGACUUGAAGGAGACUUUUAAUAGCUUUGAAGGGGAGAGGACUUCCAAACCUUGUGUCACCCUCUUAAUGUCAUCCUCCAAUCAACGACGGUGGAGUCCUCCUAGGCCCUGAGAACCACCUGGAAACACUUGCCCAAGCUCUCCCACUCAGGACUUCCAGCAAGGAGACCUGGGAAGAGCCAGAUGUUCUUUGAAUUAUCCGGCCUGAAAGGAUAGACACAGACUGGGUAGAGUCCAAAGGAGAAAAGGGUCUCUGCCUCUGGCAAAGGGGGACCGAGGGCUUGAGUUCUCGGGACUGGGACAAGUCCCACAUGAGUCUGAAUUCCACCUCUGGGAACACCAGACUUUUUUGCAGAAAUAAACCUGUAGAAGGUAGAGACUGCUUUGGUCUGUCUCUAUUCCGAGGCUUAGUGCAACACCUGGCACAGAGAAGGCCCUUAAAUUUGCUCAUUGAUCGACUGAUUGAUUGGAAACUGAAGGUCCCUGUUGCAGAAGCAGCCAGCGAGGUCAGAGGGACCCCGUGUCUUAGCAUGAAGCCAUUCUUGGGGGAAGCUAAGGCAGCGUGUGUGGGUGAAUGGGUGGGACCAUGGGAAUCAAGCUCUGGGAAGCAAAUAAUGACCAUUCAUUUCAUAUCUGGAGAAGAACCAGCAUGAAGAGUUCCCUUCAUCGCCAGAUGAAGACAAAAAAUGUCUGGCGAUGAGUGGACCCGGAGUUUGAACCACUACCCCUUUCCAUGGGUGAGCAGGGGCAGGGCUGGGGACAAAGAUUUCCUUAAUGGAGCCACCUGACCCUUGUGGAAAUCAGAUUCUUCUUGAGGCAGCUGAUGGGGUGCUGGGUCUGGAUUCAUCAGGAAGAGUUCAAAUCCAACCGCAGAUGCUUCCUAGUCAGGCGACCCUGGACAAGUCACUUAUCCUGUGUAUCUGUUUUCUCAUCUGUAAAAUGAGCUGGAGAAGGAAACUAUCAUCUUUGCCAAGAAAACCCCAGAUGGUGGCACAGAGCUGGACGUGACUGAUAAAACGACUGAACACCUCAUAGGACUUCUAUAAAAAUCAAAUGGGAUGACAUUUGUUUAAAAAUCACUCGGUGCAGUGCUUGGCACAUAGCAGACUUUAUCCCUUUCAUUCUAGGACCCUCCUGCCUUCUGUCCUAAGCACUGCUUAUAAGCCUUUAAUAAAUGUUCCUUCAAUUUUUAUUCUAUAAGAAAUGAUGAGCAGGCCGAUUCCAGGAAGGCCUGGAGAGACUUCCAUGAGCUGAUGCUGAGUGAAGCCAGCAGAGCCAGGAGAUCAUGGGCAUGUGAUGAUCAACAGUGAUAGACUUGGCUCUUCUCAGCAAAGCAGUGAUUCAAGACAAUUCCAAUAGAUUUGCCAUCGGCAGCUGGAGAGAGCACAAUGGAGACUGAAUGUGGAUCGAAAAAUCGUAUUUUCACGGUUUUGUUUGUCUUUUCUCAAGGGUUCUUCCCUUUUGUUCUGAUUUUUAACACAUGACAAAUAUCGAAAUACAUUUAAAAGGAUUUCACAUGUUUCACCUAUAUCAGAUUGGGGAGGAGGGGAGGAAGGAAGGAAGAAAAAUUUG